rnacentral:rRNA from 1 species
GACGAACGCUGGCGGCGUGCCUAGUACAUGCAAGUCGAGCGAACCAAUAGGAGCUUGCUCCUGUUGGUUAGCGGCGGACGGGUGAGUAACACGUGGGCAACCUGCCUGUAAGACUGGGAUAACACCGGGAAACCGGUGCUAAUACCGGAUAAUCCUUUUCCUCUUAUGAGGGAAAGUUGAAAGUCGGUUUCGGCUGACACUUACAGAUGGGCCCGCGGCGCAUUAGCUAGUUGGUGAGGUAACGGCUCACCAAGGCGACGAUGCGUAGCCGACCUGAGAGGGUGAUCGGCCACACUGGGGCUGAGACACGGCCCAGACUCCUACGGGAGGCAGCAGUAGGGAAUCUUCCACAAUGGACGAAAGUCUGAUGGAGCAACGCCGCGUGAGCGAUGAAGGCCUUCGGGUCGUAAAGCUCUGUUGUUAGGGAAGAACAAGUAUCGGAGUAACUGCCGGUACCAUGACGGUACCUAACCAGAAAGCCACGGCUAACUACGUGCCAGCAGCCGCCGUAAAAC